CCCAUUGAAUUCAUUAUCAACAACAGCAGCUACCAACACAAAAUACUCAAGGUAAUUUGAUAUCCCAAAUAUUCAAUUCAGUUUGCAUCCAUAUCUAGCAUAUCACAGUUCAUCUACAUCAAAUAGCCUAGAUAUUUCGUACAAUAGAAAGUAUAAACUUCACAAACAGGCUGCACUCUAGAACAACAAACUAUGAGAGUUUUUCCCAGACCAUUACCAACUGAACAUGAACCGAGAUAAUUGAGUAAGAAAAAGACUUAGCUUUGAGAGAAAGGGCUGACAGCCCGACGGGGACGACGACGAUGGUCGGGACAGGGCUGAACUCACACGGCCUCAUCAAGACCCAAGAACAGCGGUUGCGGAGUUACCAAACUGGAAUAGAACGAAGCCAAUCGGCACUGAACCCCGAUCAGCAGCUGCUCGGCGGCGGCGAUUCUUACUUUUCUGGAACGGCGACCAGCCGUCAGUUUCCGACGGAGACGCGGAACAGCGGCGGCCUGGAAAUCGAAAGAUAGGGCUCGAUCUGGGUCCUGCGGUCGGAUUUGAGAUGAAGGUCGGAGUUUGAAACCUCAGGGGAGGAGAAAGAGAGGAGGCCGACGGGCUCCAGGCCGGAGCAACGCCGCUCCCAGACGGCGACCGAUCGCCCAAUUUCGAAAGGGCAGCAGCAGCAGCAGCGCUGAUUCCUUGAGAAUCAGGGCUCGAUGUUAGGGGAGGAAAGAGGACGGCGCCGGGGCUGAGGCGCGUCGACAGAUGACGCCGGCUGAAGUCGCGGCGGCGGACGCCUCGUGUGAAGGCGAGUCGAGAGUGAGAGGGAGAAGAGGCGUGCGGCUGGUUUGAGAGAGAAGGAGAGUGUCGGCUGGUUUGAGAGUUGAGAGAGAGAUAACCGAGCGAGGGGGAGGAGAAGUAAAGGUUUGGGCCUUUUGUUAAGUUGGGCUAUGUCUUGGGCUUCAACUUUAAUUCGAAUUGGGCCUCUAUUUCUUUAUUUUGGGCCGAGUCUUGGGCCGAUUUUUAAUAAGUGAUGGGCCGAUUUUUAAAUGGUUUUGGGCUUCCAUAUAAUAAUUUCGAACUGGGUCGAAUUAUUUAAGAAAAAGUUUGGGCUUCACUUAUAAAUUCGAAAUGGGCCAGUCUUUAAUUUAAUUGGUCCUUCUCAUUAUUUUUAUUGGGCUUGAAUUAAUUUAAGGAGUUGGGCUGAUGCAUAUAUUUAUGAUGGGUUAUUAUUCUAAUCCCAUUUAUAUUUUAUUGGGCCAGUUUAAUUCAUCACUUGGGCCGAGUUUUAUUUAAUUUUAAGCUCAGAAUAAUUCAUUCUAUUCUUGGGCUAAUUUUAAAUUAUGGACUGAAAUUUUAUUUAGUUGGGCCUUACAUGAUUUAUUUAUUUGAGCCCAACAGACCUUAUUUUAAUAUCGGCCUUAUUAUUUUAUUUCUUUGGGCCGAGGCUUAUUUAAUUGCAGCUGGGCCUUGCGUACUUAUUUAACUUAGCCCAGCUAUUCAUUAUUUAUUCAUUGGGCCAAGAUUUAUUUAAUUACUUAAGCCAAUGAAUUAUUUCGAUUGGGCUUUCGUACUAUUUAUUCAGGCCCACUUCUACUUAAUUAAUUAUCAGGCUGCCUUGUUGAGCCUCUUAAUUAUUGAGCUUAUAUUAUUGUUUCCUUAAGGCCAAAUUAUUAUUUUGAGCUGCCAUUAUUUAUUUGAGUUAAGCUACUCGUUUUAUUUAAUUAAUUGGCUACUCUCUUUUGAGCCUAUUAAUUAUUUGAGAUUAUAUUAGUAAUUAUGUUUCUAUCGAAAAGCCCGAUAGUUUCUACAAGGUCACACCUCGUUUAAAGCCGAGUUAGUCAUUUUUCAAUCAAGUACAAAUGCGAGAUUUAUUUUACAAUUAGAAUAUUCCGAUGGGAAAGGAAGAAUCACAGCUUUAUUCGACCGCGUUAGAUGAGAAUUAGUUAAAUCUAUUAACGAGGAUUAAUAGUAGAAUUUCCGAUUAUCGCUCAGAAUAUUAGUUCAUGCAUACCAGAUUCAUGCAUAGUUAAAUUACGCUUUCUCAUUAAUUAAGAAUUUUCCUCGAGGCAAUGUCUUAUUUUAUAUUCUCGUGAUUAAGGUCAAGCGCGAGAGUAAGAACUACACAAGGAGUUAGAGUACCUUAGCAAAACUUUGCUAUCAGGUUGAGCUGUGAUGGGCGAUGAAGUGUUGUUGCUGAGUGGAGUUUUUGUCGAACUUAAAGUAGGCUCAGAAAGGAUACAUGUCUUCAUACAUGUAUCACAGUUAUGCUUUCCGCUGUAAACACUGAUUAUUUCAGUUACGCCUUCCGUUGCAAACUCUGAUAAUGUUUUAGCCAAGCCCCUAAUGAUGCCUUUUUCCUUUUUAAGGAAUAUAACGCGUAUACAAGUUCUUUGA